UACAGAGGGUGCGAGCGUUAAUCGGAGUUACUGGGCGUAAAGGGCGCGUAGGCGAUGAUAUGUGUGUGAUGUGAAAGCCCCGGGCUUAACCUGGGAAGUGCAUAGCGAACUAUAUUUCUGGAGUAUAUGAGAGGGUGGCGGAAUUUACGGUGUAGCAGUGAAAUGCGUAGAGAUCGUAAGGAAGACCAGUGGCGAAGGCGAGUUUCUGGACGGUAACUGACGCUGAGGCACGAAGGCCAGGGGAGCAAACGGG
rnacentral:rRNA from 1 species